AGAGUUUGAUCAUGGCUCAGAUUGAACGCUGGCGGCAGGCCUAACACAUGCAAGUCGAACGGUAACAGGAAGCAGCUUGCUGCUUCGCUGACGAGUGGCGGACGGGUGAGUAAUGUCUGGGAAGCUGCCUGAUGGAGGGGGAUAACUACUGGAAACGGUAGCUAAUACCGCAUAAUGUCGCAAGACCAAAGAGGGGGACCUUCGGGCCUCUUGCCAUCGGAUGUGCCCAGAUGGGAUUAGCUUGUUGGUGGGGUAACGGCUCACCAAGGCGACGAUCCCUAGCUGGUCUGAGAGGAUGACCAGCCACACUGGAACUGAGACACGGUCCAGACUCCUACGGGAGGCAGCAGUGGGGAAUAUUGCACAAUGGGCGCAAGCCUGAUGCAGCCAUGCCGCGUGUAUGAAGAAGGCCUUCGGGUUGUAAAGUACUUUCAGCGGGGAGGAAGGGAGUAAAGUUAAUACCUUUGCUCAUUGACGUUACCCGCAGAAGAAGCACCGGCUAACUCCGUGCCAGCAGCCGCGGUAAUACGGAGGGUGCAAGCGUUAAUCGGAAUUACUGGGCGUAAAGCGCACGCAGGCGGUUUGUUAAGUCAGAUGUGAAAUCCCCGGGCUCAACCUGGGAACUGCAUCUGAUACUGGCAAGCUUGAGUCUCGUAGAGGGGGGUAGAAUUCCAGGUGUAGCGGUGAAAUGCGUAGAGAUCUGGAGGAAUACCGGCGGCGAAGGCGGCCCCCUGGACGAAGACUGACGCUCAGGCGCGAAAGCGUGGGGAGCAAACAGGAUUAGAUACCCUGGUAGUCCACGCCGUAAACGAUGUCGACUUGGAGGUUGUGCCCUUGAGGCGUGGCUUCCGGAGCUAACGCGUUAAGUCGACCGCCUGGGGAGUACGGCCGCAAGGUUAAAACUCAAAUGAAUUGACGGGGGCCCGCACAAGCGGUGGAGCAUGUGGUUUAAUUCGAUGCAACGCGAAGAACCUUACCUGGUCUUGACAUCCACGGAAGUUUUCAGAGAUGAGAAUGUGCCUUCGGGAACCGUGAGACAGGUGCUGCAUGGCUGUCGUCAGCUCGUGUUGUGAAAUGUUGGGUUAAGUCUCGCAACGAGCGCAACCCUUAUCCUUUGUUGCCAGCGGUCCGGCCGGGAACUCAAAGGAGACUGCCAGUGAUAAACUGGAGGAAGGUGGGGAUGACGUCAAGUCAUCAUGGCCCUUACGACCAGGGCUACACACGUGCUACAAUGGCGCAUACAAAGAGAAGCGACCUCGCGAGAGCAAGCGGACCUCAUAAAGUGCGUCGUAGUCCGGAUUGGAGUCUGCAACUCGACUCCAUGAAGUCGGAAUCGCUAGUAAUCGUGGAUCAGAAUGCCACGGUGAAUACGUUCCCGGGCCUUGUACACACCGCCCGUCACACCAUGGGAGUGGGUUGCAAAAGAAGUAGGUAGCUUAACCUUCGGGAGGGCGCUUACCACUUUGUGAUUCAUGACUGGGGUGAAGUCGAAACAAGGUA
rnacentral:rRNA from 1 species